rnacentral:lncRNA from 1 species
UAAUAUAUAAUUUUAUAAAAAUCCUGGAAUACAUAAUGUUUUAGUUAAAGCACUGUAAAAUAGUUUUGAAUUUGUCAUAAAACAAAUAGCUUUGAAAUUUUUUUUGGUAUCAGUUCAUCAUGAAGAUUUUAUGGGAGAUACUUAUGGUUGUCCACCAUAGUUCGUCAUUCCAAUUAUUAUUUUAAGAGUAAAAGUUCAAAGAAUCAGACCUGUAGGAUAUGGGUUAGAGAAUCAAGAUGUUGGAAUUAGUUGUUAGUCGCUACAUUUUGAAUUGUUUAAGGUGUCUGAGGCUGAUUGGAGGCUUAGAAGUGUGUUUAAAUAAUUUCUUCUAUCAAGGUGAGUAACUCCACUCCUAAAGCACUAGAUUUGUGUGACUCUAUUGAUAUCUUAAUAUUAUUGUAAGUAACAUCAUUUCUAGUGUACUGGAUAUCUAGAGUAUUGGAUAUGUAAGAUAGUUUUGAUAUUUUAACAUUAUUACAAGUACAUGUGCUUUUUUUAGUUCUUCAAAACAAAAUUAUUUAUGUAAGUGUUUUAAUAUAAUUUUGAUAGAGUGCUAGAUUUGUGUGAUUAUAUUGAUAUCUUAAUAUUAUUGUAAGUAACAUUAUUCCUAGUGUACUGGAUAUUUAAGAUAAUUUUGAUAUUUUCAUAUCUUUACAUGUGUUUUUUUUUUAAUUCUUCAUCAUAAAAUUAAUUCAUGUAAAUGUUUUCAAAUAUGAAAAUUAUGUUAUUUUUAUGGAUCUAAUAGAAUAUUAUUAAUGCCUUUAAAUAUGUAAUUUAUUUUGUUACAUGACUAUCUUCUAUGAAUUUGUCUAUGAAAUAUUACAAUGGAAUUUAUUUUGCAAUCCUAAAUCAUUGUUGAUCUUUUAUGAAUUCGAUAUAAAUAUUUUAUUCACAUAUACGAUUGAGAUUAUUUAUGAUUGUUUGGGGGCCAGAGUGCCCCGAAGUGCUACAUAGUACCACAUGCAAGUCGUGACGUAUGGAAAAUGAAUUUAAAUAUUUUGGCUCAUUGUCUAUAGUUAUUUUUAUUUUGAUUCUGAUCGUAUAUAUCAUAUAUAUGUUCUGGACCAAUACUGAGUUUCUAUUUUGAGGGUGCACACGAUAUUCUGAUUCUGAUUCUAUUCUGGCUGGUCACUGGGAGUAUAAGUGAUAUUUUGUGACAUGAGCUAAUCUUUUGUUUCCUGUAUUUAUAUCUUAUACGAUUUGUUUUUGUGAUUAAUUAUGACUUUGAUAUCUGUAGAGGGCAUUUGAGUCACUUCUUGAGAGGUGUGUUUAUCGUUGGAGGUGGAGAUUUAUUUACUUGCUAGUUGAAUAAAAGAAUGAUGAAUUUCUAUUUCCUUUAAGCUUGUUAGUGUUCUAAACUUAUAAUUGGGGAGUUUUGAGACUUUUGUUACAUUUAUGAUUUGCGAGAAUAUGUCAAGUAUUCAACUUGUGGAUUUGUUGAUUUGUUUAAUAAAGUUUGAGGUAUUUCAAUUUGAGAUUUUGUGUAAGGAUUUCGAUUUGUAUGUAACCUUCUAUUACCAGGUGUUAAAUUGGGGUGUUACAUAACCACAACUAUUGGACUCUUUUUCAUGNNNNNNNNNNNNNNNNNNNNNNNNNNNNNNNNNNNNNNNNNNNNNNNNNNNNNNNNNNNNNNNNNNNNNNNNNNNNNNNNNNNNNNNNNNNNNNNNNNNNAAAGAAAAGAUAAAGAAAGAAAGAAGAAGAUGAUGAGAGAGAGUGAGAAAGAGAAUGAGAUUGGGGAUUAAGAAGAUGAAAAGUUAAAUUUUUAAUGAGUUUCUUUACAUGGAUUAAUGAACUUUUAUUUUUUACCAAGAAAUUGAAAUGAUUUUGAGUAAACCAUCAUAAAUUAUUUAAACUUUGACAAAUUCUAUAUCCUCGAAAUAGAAAUAUGAAAAUUUACUGUAUGCAUCUUUAAAUAUUGUUUUGCUAAAUAAGAAUUAUGUUAUGACAUGAUUUUUAUACUCCAUCCAUGUCUGAAUUUCAGUCUGAUAUCAAGUUUCAAAUAACAAAAUCAAGUGAUUUUGAGUAAAGUAUUUAUGGUAGUAAAAUUGGUAUUUUAAAUUUGUAGAACCUUUUUUAGUCUUACUAAGGCUACAAUAGUUUUGCUUUUGAAGAUCAAUUUUAGGAAAAUUUAGCAUGCAUAUUCUUAAAAUCCAUUUAAUUUAUUCAUGAUUAUGUCAAAAUGGAGAAGACCAAUUUUAGUAAGUUUCUAGCAUGCAUGUUCUUAAAAUCUAUUUAAUUUAUUCAUGAUUAUGUCAAAAUGGGGAUGUUAUUAGCUAGCAUUGUAAUUAGAUAAAUGUAUUGUUAUUUUUUGCUUAAGAAGUAAUGUCAACAAGAAAAGAAUCAUCAGUGAACUUACUUUAUGUUGCUUAGAGUGCGGUAGGCAUAUUAUGUGCUUUCAGAGAGUUUUGGUUUUCAACUUAUUGAACAAGACCAAAACCUUCAACAGGUACUGGACCAACUUAUUGAGAAGGAACAAGUACUAGACGACACCACAAGUUCAUUAUUAAUAGAUCAAUUUAACUAUGCUAUGCCCCCCUUCUUUGCCACCGGCACACUUUCAGUAUUGAAUUCAGGUGCCAGAACAAUAUCCUCUAAAGCAAUGGGCAUAGUCGAGCUCGUAGUGUCUGUCUCUGUCUCUGUCACAGUCUAACCUAACUGUUCAGCCAUUUCCUAUUAACGAUCAUAGCAUAGCUCCUUCUCAGUAGGUCUACUUGUGACAAUUCUUUCUAACUGAGAGUCUGAAAUAAAAGUCGUCUUUUAGGGCAUCUCAUAAGAACCAUAUUCAUUAUGUCAAAAAUAAGAGAUUCUAGUACUUCGACUAGCAUUAGUUUUCAAUAGAUUCCCAAAAAGAUGUACAAGUCUCGGUAUUCUAAUUGUACUUAUGGCUAGUUAUAGUUUGAGUCUCGCACCUGUGCCAAGUGGUAAUAGCAAGCAGGCUGAGUUCCUUUCUCGUCUCAGACUUAUAAUUGAUUUAUCAGCGACAACAUCAAAUCAACAAAGAUUUGGUGUUACCUGAACAUCAUCCCCCUGACCUUGAGACGUUUGGAAUGGAAGAAUAAUCUGAGUUUGCCUAUACCAACCACAUGUUUUCAUUUUAGAGAGAAUCUUAUUCGGGAUCAAAAGACGGCUAAGGCCUAACGUUGUUAGAGGAGACCUUCUCUUACUGGCAUUCACUUGGAGCUCUCUUUUUAGGGCAACCCUUUCACCGAUCUUCAAAUUGUAUGAGAAGUUGUACUACUAACUCUGUCUACGAUGGGUGAGUGUCGAUUUCAUUACAAACAUAUAUUAACGUAUAUAGAAUAGAAAUAGGAGCAGCUAUUGCCCACUGAUGUUAGCGUAAAGGUCCUUAGUCAAACAUAAGGAUCUUAUUCAUUAAAGGAUGGAAAACGAAGGUAAACCAAGAGUACCGAAACUCAUCAACAAGUAGGCAUGUCCAUUACUAAAUCUUUAAGUAUUAGUAAUGCUACUAGGCACUAGACAUAUCUUCCACUACUUUCAAUCGGGAUAAAUAACUAUUUAAGUGGAAAGGCCUAUCUAUACGGUUCAGUUCUCUCUAGACUUAACCAAUUCGACUAGGGUAGCCUGUUUAGGUGUUAGAUAGUGUCUUCUUAGCCUUGGAUUUUCUUACCCUUAGAUUUUUUCUUCUUUAUGGAUUGCAAUUGUUUGGUUAUAGCCGGCACCGUAGAAAUCUUAGCAAACCUUUUCCUUUUUUGCAGGAGCUCAAUUUUGGAUGACAUCUCUUAGAUAUCAUUCUUCAGCUUCUCUUUUUCUUGAUUGAGAAUUUUAUCACCUAAAACAAGUUCAAUCUCAAUUUGAGAAUUAAGUGAGGUAUCAUUGUUGAGUGUUAGAAAGUGUAUAUUUAUAAAAGAGAAAAUCAUAAUUUUACACUUCAAGUCUCACUACAUCCAUACUUGUAUAUAUUUAAGUCCUUUGUGAUUUAAUUAUGUGUGUUUUAUUUUAAUUAAGUAUUUUAUGUAUUUUAGGGGCAUCAUGGUCAUUUCACAAUGAACAAAAGAUUAGAUAGCAAAGCAGACUGUAAUUUUGGACUCAGGCAGUCGAAAACCUUAUGAGGAGCAUAAAAGAGUAAACGGCACUGUUCACAUGUACGGUACUGUACAUAGGACUGUUCACGACACUGUUCACAACACUGUUCACAUAUACGGUCUGAUGACAUGACGUUGACCGAUGACGUGGCUCGACCGAUGACAUGGCACCAACCAAUGACGUGGCAGCAUUCAAUUGGACGAAUGAUGUGGCAUUGACUGCUUAUGUGGCGUUGACUGAUGAGUUGGCAUUGACCGAUGAUGUGUCACGAUGCUAUUGAACUAAAAUGUUGAUGCGAUGUUGAUCAGUGAUGUGGCAGUAUGUUAGUGGACCAGGAAACGUUCGUACGAUACAUGUAUUACACAGAAUGACAACCUUGAUGAUGUGUUCUAUCUAAUCAGAACUUGCCACGUGGCGCAAUCCUAAGCGUCCAAAUUGUUUUAAUCUGUGGCCAUGAUUUAAUCAUUGUAUCUAAAAAAGGGGGCUCUGCCCCCCUAAUUCGACACCCCUAAAUCCAUUUUUUAGCUCAAUUUUCUGUAAUUCCUUCUCCAUCUUGUAUUUUCUAUGUAUUUUAAUAAAUUUCCAUUUUACCCCUAUUCCAAAUAUGAGUAACUAAUUUUCUUUUAAGCUUAGGUUGAAGGUGAAGUCUCAACAUGUUCCAUGAGCUUAAUUUGGUAAAUUUACUUUCUCUUCCCCUCUAAUAUCUGUGGAUGUUUUGACUUUUCGUCGAUAGAUAAUAAUAAUCUUGUCUAGACGUAGUAGAAGGUUAUUACUAUUUGGCACGAUAAGCCCUUAGCAUCAUAUCUAUUAAUAAGGAAUAUCUAACUCAUGGCGCAUGUUGAUACAGAUCCAGAUACCUAAGCACUUUAUUUCAAUAGUUUCCAGUUUAAUUUAUUCUCGCCAUUCCAAUUUAAAUUCUAGGAUAAUCUAAAUCAAUUUAACCACAAAUCCAAUCACCCACUGAGAAAAUUAACUCUACACAAUUAAAAUCCACCUCCUGGUGGGAUCGACGCUCAUCACCAUUGAUUUAUUCUACAAUAGAUUCGUGCAUUUGUGAGUUCAAUAAAAUUUGUACAACAAGUUUUUGGCACCGUUGCCGGGGAGGUAAGUUUUUUUUUAAUUCGUAGAAUUAAUUUUUGUAAAUAAUUUCUUUUAGUUGUUUUCUUGUAAUUUUUUUUCUUAUUAAAAAAAAAGAAAAAAAGUGAAUCUGCAUUUUAAGGUAAGAAUUUCUUUUCUUUUCUGUUCUUUAAAUUUUUGUAAUUUAGUUUUCAAGUUAUUUUUCUUUGUAAUUUCUCGUUUAUCUUGUUAAUUUAUUUUAAUUUUAAUUAAUUUAUUACACGUAAUUUUUUUUUUCUAUAGCACUUGAAUGUAUUUUCAUAGUAAGGUUGUAACAACGUGAUAAGAUUAGUAUCGUAAUUCCUCAUUCUCUUUAUUUUUACUAGUUUUUUUUUCAUUUCUUUUGUUCUUUGCAUGCAUGGUCAAAUGUCACAAUUACCUAAUAUUGAGCCCAUAGACUUUGAACUGAAAAAAACACUUUGCACACACAAACACAUUAAAAAUAAAAUUGAAAUGGAUAUUCAACAACAACAAUAAGCACCACCGGAGAUGUCAUUUAAGGAUUACUUCAGUCCCUUAGCUAACUUGAGCACAUCAUGCAUAAGAUACCCAAAUGUAGUUGCUAGGAGUUUUGAGUUAAAACCUAGUGUGCUAAAUUGUCUCCCAACAUUUAUGGCCUAGAAAAUGAGGACUCAUAUAAUCAUUUGAAUGAUUUUCAUGCUGUUUGUCAAACUUUUAAAUAUGAGAAUUUUUCAGACGAUGAUAUUAAACUUAGACUAUUCCCAUUUUCUUUAAAGGAUAAAGCUUGUUCAUGAUUCAAUACAUUACCUGCUAAUAGCAUUACACAUGGAAAUAAAUGGUAUCAAAAUUUUUGAAUAAAUAUUUCAUAGUGCAUAAAACUAAUGUUAUUCGCAGGGAAAUUUCAGAGUUUACCCAGAGAGAAGACGAGCAGUUUUUCGAAGUAUGAGAGCGAUUAAAUGAGCUACUUUUAAAGUGUCCACAUCAUGGGUACGAGAAAUUGCACCAAUGCCAAUACGUUUUGGAGGGAUUAUUGCCGCAUGUGUAAGAAUGUCUAAUGACAACAAGUGAAGGAGAGCUAAUGUAAAAAAGUACAUUAGAGAUUUGAGAUUUCUUCCAGCGACAAGCAAAUAAUUCCCAACAACGGAGUUGAUCAGUCAGGAAUACUAAAAGAAUUAAAGAAGUGAAUAAGGUUCACAUUGGCGAGUCAAGUUCAGGAAUUAAAGAAGUCAAAGAGAUGAUUGAAGGUCUUUCCUGACAAAUAACAUCGUUAACAACUGCUAAAUCAAUAGAACCACAUGACCAUGACUCAUACUCAGAUCAAGCCAAUGCCAUAUGUGUAAUGAGAAAAUCAUCAAAUUACAACCCAUAUUCCAACACAUAUACCCCUAGAUAGAGAGACCACCCUAAUUUUUCAUGGUAUCGAGGAUUCCAACAGAAUGGACUAGCAGCUUCAGCUUCACCAAUGCAACAAAUUCCUUAAGUUCCUUAAGCCUCUCAGCCACCAUUUAGACCAUACAAUUAGAAUCAGAACUACUCUCAACCCAGACCAUGGGAAGAUGCAUUCCAGAAUUUCAAGAACCUUACUCAAUCCACGAUUGAGCAACAGAACCGCACCAUUGAUGAACUACAAAAUGAGAUGAGAGUAGACUUUAACUCACAAGCCCAAUCAAUUUCAAACCUCGAGAAGAUGGUUGGACAGCUUGCCUCUUCAGUUCAAACUUUGGCAAUGACUGUUGAGAAAGACAAAUUCCCAAGUCCACCUAUGCCUAAUCCUAAAGGAGUGCAUGAAGCAAGUAUCAGUUCACUACAGCAGCAUGGAGAGGUCAAAGCCGUCAUGACCUUACGAAAAAAAAAAGAAGUCGACAAUAAAGUAGAGAUGCCGGUGACAAAAACAACUCAAAUUGUACCUGUGAAUGCUGAGGACUCAUCAUCGGAGGAGAAAAAAGAAACUAACCCACAAGAAUACGUUCCCAAAGCUCAUUUUCCUCAGAGGUUAGCUAAAGGAAAGAAGGGAAAAUCCACAGGUGAAAUUUUUGAAAUCUUCAAACAGGUAAUUGUUAACAUCCCUUUACUUGAUGCUAUAAAACAAGUGUCAUCUUAUGCCAAGUUUCUUAGAGACUUUUGUACUAAAAAGAGAAAUAUUCAUAUUCAAAAGAAUGCCUUUUUAACAGAAAACGUUAGCUUUAUACUCCAACACAAAAUUCCUCUAAAAUACAAAGACCCAGGCUCCCCCACUAUCUCCUGUAGCAUAGGGAACCACAUAGUUGAGAAUGCUUUGUUGGAUUUAGGAGCUAGUAUAAAUCUGUUGCCUUAGUCAGUAUUUGUGAAACUGAGACUAGGAGAAUUACACCCAACUCCAGUGGUGUUACAGCUUGCAGAUCGGUCCACGAAAAUACUUCGUAGUAUUGUGGAGGACGUGCUUAUCCAGGUAGAUAAGUUUUAUUUUCCUAUUGAUUUCAUUGUAAUUGACACUCAACCAAUCCUGGAUUUAAGGAAGUACAUCCCCAUUAUCUUAGGUCGACUUUUCUUGGCAACUGCCGAUGCUCCCAUUCAAUGCAGGAUUGGAAAUAUGCAGUUAUACUUUGGAAAUAUGACUAUGGAGCUAAACAUCUUCAACAUUGCCAAACAACCUAACAAUGCAGAUGAUGGAAUUGUUGAUGUGGAUUUAAUAGAAGCAUUAGUUGAUAAUACUUUUCUUUUAAACCUUAGUGAUCACCCUUUACAAACAUGUUUAACUCAUUUUGGUUUGGAUUUUGAUAUUGACAGAUUAGUCGAUGAGGUCAACGCCCUACUUGACUCAGCACCAUCCAUGGACACUAAUAAAUGUAAGUCAAGAGUUGAAUAACUAGCACCAUCAGAGAAGAAACUCAACCCAUCAUCAGAAUCACCACCAAAACUCGAGCUUAAAUCAUUACCCAACACUUUGGAAUAUGUGUUCUUGGGAGAAUAAAGUACUCUGUCAGUAAUCAUCUCAUCAUUCCCUAAAUGAUGAACAAAAAAGUAAGUUGUUGGAAGUGUUAAAAGAGCACAAAUGAGUAUUAAGAUGAACUAUAACUGACAUAAAAGGUAUAAACCCAAUAAACUGCAUGCAUUACAUUCACCUUAAUGAAAAUGCUAAACCUACUAAGGAUAUGCAACAUCGGUUGAACCCUAACAUGAAAGAAGUUGUUAGAACUAAAAUCCUUAAGUCAUUAGAUGUAGGUAUCAUUUACCUCAUUUCUGAUAGUUCAUGGAUCAGUCCUAUACAAGUUGUCCCCAAAAAGUCAGGAGUCACAGUAGUUACCAAUGCUGAUAAUGAAUUGAUACCCAUUAGAGUGACUACAGGGUGGCGUGUAUGCAUUGAUUAUAGAAAGUUGAAUUCUGUCACACGUAAGACCAUUUUCCUUUAUCAUUUAUUGAUCAAAUGCUUGAUAGAUUAGUAGGUCAUGAAUUUUAUUGCUUUUUCGAUGGCUACCCAAGAUAUAAUCAAAUUCCCAUAACACCAAAAGAUCAAGAGAAAACCACUUUCACUUGCCCUUUUGACACUUUUGCAUAUAGUAUGAUGCCAUUUGGAUUAUGUAAUGCACCUGCUACAUUUCAAUGAUGCAUGAUAAGCAUUUUUUCUUAUAUGGUUGAAAGAUUCCUUGAAGUCUUUAUAGAUGACAUUUCUUUCUUUGGUGAUUCAUUCGAUCAAUGGUUACAUCAUUUAACAAUAGUUUUGCAAAAAUUUAUCGAGAAUAAUUUGAUAUUAAAUUGGGAGAAGUUGUUAGCCUAAAGGGCUACACAUAAUGUAAUUUUGAUGAUAACAAACAUGAGUAUUAAGUGAUUUAAUAAAUAUUGUAUUUAAUAUUUUCACUAGUUUUUGAAGGGUAAAAUUUAUGCAAGUGAAUCAAGUGAAAUCAAGCUCAAGACACUCAACGGACAACGGCGAAAUCAAGAAUAAAAUUUAGAGCUCAACAGAAAAAUUAAUAGGAUAACUUCUUGUAAAGUCGGUAUGAUUUAAUUGAUGCAUGAUUUAACAUUUGAGAAGCUUAAGAGAUUUAUUUAAACAAUUACUUUUUAUAAACUAAAAGGUUUUAUUUUUAUAAGGUAAGAUAUUUUGUGGAUUUGAGUAAUUUGUACUUAAAUGAAAAGUUUUGCAAUCUUUGAUUUUAAUAAGUAUUAUUUUGAAUUUCGGAGUUGGACCUUUUUGCAAACAUUUGAAAUAUUUUGGGCCAUAAUAUAAUUUAUGAACAUUUUGGACUAAAGAGAAAGAUUUUGAGAACUUUGAAAAAUAUGGGUAUUGUGUUAAAAUUUUGAAAAAGCGCCUCUUUGAAAAAUAAUAAUAUAUUUGGGUUAUUUCAUAAGUUCAGAAAGUUUUGAAAUGGCAAUCACUAUUUAAAAAUUCUAAAAUUAGACUUAUUUACAAAGUUUUAUAAUAUUUGGGUCAUAGUAUAAUUAUAAAAAGUUUUGGGCCAAAGUGUUAUUAUGGUGAACAGUAUUACUGUAGCAAAAUUUAAAAAUAGCGGUAAAAUCACUGUUACAAGCGGCUAGCCGGUUAAAUCAAGCGGCUAACCGCUUGAUUGCGGGAAUUUAUCCAUAACGGCUAGUUUUCGGGCUUUAACUAUAAAAGCUCAACUCCAACUUCAUUUUAAGGACUAAUGCAAGCAUAAAUAAGAUCAUAUAACAUAUAUUGAGCUUCCAAAUCGCAAAUCAUCCUAGACUAAAUUAUUAUUGUGCUAUUAUUUGCAUAUAUACUCUUAAAGAGAGUUUUUGUUGUAAUUUUCAUUUCUUAUCAAAUUGUGAGUGUACAAGUGUGAGAAAUACUUAGGGUGAAGAGAUUGGGGAGAUAAUCUCCUGAUUGUAAAGGUUCGUUGACAUCUUAGAAGUCAAUUGUAAGAACUUGAAGCCUUAGGAGGCUUGGAUAAUGAAAUCCUCGAGCUUGGUUGGCUUGAAGGUAUGGACGUAGGCGGGGAUUGCCGUACCACGUAAAAAUCCGUGUGUUUGUUUUUCUCUUCCCUUACUCUUUAUUGUUAUGCUUGUUUGAAUUUAUUAUUUUCUAUUUCAUUAAGGCGUUAGAUUAAUUUUUUGUGCGAAUUGUAUUGCAUUAGUUUUUAAAUCCCAAUUCACCCCCCUCUUGGGUUGCAUAACUUGCAUUUCAGAAGUGCCAUUUUAUGGUAAAAUAAUGUAUAGUUCUCGGUCACAUCAUUUCAAGCAAAGGUAUUGAGGUUGAUAAAGCGAAGGUGGAUCUCAUUUCCAAACUUUCUCCACUUAAAACAGUUAGAGAAGUAAGAUCUUUACUUGGGCAUGCUGAUUUUUAUAGACGUUUCAUUAAAGAUUUUAGUAAAGUUUCUCGACUUUUAUGCAAUCUACUUGCUAAGGAUGUAUCUUUUGUCUUUGAUUAUGCAUGUCUUGUGGCAUUUGAAAAACUAAAACGAUUGUUGACAUCAUCACCCAUCAUUCAGCCUCUAAACUGGAGUUUACCAUUUGAGCUUAUGUGUGAUGCAUCUGAUUACGUAGUAGGAGCAGUAUUAAGAUAAAGAGUUGAUUGAAUUCCCCAUGUUAUUUACUAUGCUAGUAUGACAUUGAAUGAUGCACAAUUGAACUAUUCAACCACUGAAAAAGAAAGGCUAGCAGUAGUGUUUGCAUUAGAGAAAUUUCGAUCUUAUCUCAUUGGUUGUAAAAUAAUUGUGUUCACAUAUUAUGCUGGUCUUAAAAAUAUCUUCUUACAAAAAAAGUUACAAAAGCUAGACUAAUUCAUUGGGUGUUACUUUUGUGGGAAUUUGACUUGGAAUCUAAAUAUAAGAAAGACACAAAAAGUGUUGUGGCUGACCAUCUCUCUUGUCUCCAUUUUGACACAAUAAUGAUACUAUUACCAUUGAAUGAAUCAUUUCUAGAUGAACAAUUGAUGAAUGUGGAAUAUUACCAUGGUAUGCUGAUAUAGUUAAUUAUCUUGUUACAAGUCAAUUUUCAGAGCAUUGGACUAAGUAGGACAAAGCCAAAUUUUUAUGGAAAUAAAGAGUUUCUUUUGGGAUGACCCUUAUCUGUUCAAGUAUUGUGCAGAUCAAAUGAUCAGACGAUGUAUCACAGAAAGUGAAUUUCAAAACAUUCUUUCAUUCUGCCGUGAACAAGCUUGUGGAGGCCAUUUCAGCGCUAAGAAAACAACUACUAAAGUUUUACAAUGUGGUUUCUAUUGGCCAAUUAUAUUUUGAUAUACUUACAUUUUUGCUCUUCAUGUGAUAGGUGCCAAUGAAUAGGGAGCAUUACAAGAAGGAAUAUGAUGCUACUAAAUCCAAUUUUAGUAGUUGAGAUUUUUUAUGUAUGAGAUAUCGAUUUCAUGAGACCCUUACCCCCUUUUUUGGGCCAUCAAUACAUAUUGGUUGCUGUUGACUACAUAUCAAAAUUUGUAUAAGCAAUUCCAUGUAGAACCAAUGAUUAUAAGGUGGUGAUAGAUUUUUAAAAAGCAACAUUGUGUUAUGCUUUAGAUUUCCUCGAGCAAUAAUCAGUGAUGGUGGUACCCACUUUUGUAACAAAUCAUUCAAAGCUCUUUUGACAAAGUAUUCCAUCACUCACAAAGUGGCGACCCCAUAUCAUCCGCAAACCAGUGGCCAGGUUGAGAUCUCCAAUCGAGAAAUAAAGCACAUAUUAGAAAAGACAGUGAGGCAAGACAUAAAAGAUUGAUCAUUAAGACUUGAUGAUGCAUUAUGGACAUAGAGAACAACUUUCAGGACCCCGAUUGGGAUGUCACCCUACAGGUUAGUGUAUGAAAAAACUUGCCACCUACCUAUAGAACUUGAGCAUCGUGCGUAUUGGGCCAUCAAGAAAUUCAACUUUGACAUGCAACAAGUUAGCUCAGAAAGAAGAUUAUAGCUGUCAGAACUUGAAAAAAUUCGCAAUGAUGCAUACAAAAAUCCCAAGAUUUACAAGUAGCGAAUGAAAGUCUUUCAUGACAAGCAAAUUUUGAGAAAAUCUUUCACCCUAGGUCAGAAAGUGCUUUUAUUCAAUUCUCACUUGCACCUAUUCCCAGGUAAGUUACGCUUUCGAUGGUAGUUACGCUUUCGAUGGUCUGGUCCCUUUAUUAUCCAUACUGUUUUUCCACAUGGGGCAGUUGAAAUUAAGAAUCUAAAGAACGGUGUCACUUUUAAAGUUAAUGGUCAAAGAUGAAAGCGAUAUCUAGAGUACCAACCACAUGGAGAGGACACCGAAAUAAAUUUGAGUGACCUACCAGAUUUGCAUUGAGAUUUUUCUUUCUUUUCGAUGAUUUAAUUUUUCUUUAUUUUUUUUACUAUUCUUUUGCUAAUUGAAAUUAUUUUUGCAUAAUUGUGUUUGUUUAACCAUUAAAUUUUCUUUUAUCAUUGUUAAUCAUGAGUGCCUCAGCUAAACAGAUCCUCUUGGACAUUCUUAGACGACUUCAACGUGUAAAAUCUCAUCUCUAAAGCCAUAUUCGAUUUUGUAAAACACAUCAUAUUUGGGAUCUACAACCACCAAAGUUAGUAUCCCAUGUUGAGGCUUUAGAAAGACAACUCAGAGAUAUUGAGGGAGGUAUCUUCGACAUCCAGUUGGAGCUUGAGGUAAAUUCAAUAAGAGGACGAUUGUAAUUUUCUUUGUGUGUUUUAGUUUUUACUCCGUUUGUGUGUUUUUGUUUGUUACCCCGGUUAAGUGGCGGAUAACGGUACUCCGUGACAAUCAAGUCGGUUACUUCAGUUUUCCAUAAUAAUUGAUAUUCUGAGGCGAAGGUAUGGACAGAAACGAGAUUUAAGCAAAGCUUCACAAUCAAUUCCCUUCACUUCCUCAGAAUACCCUCCUUACUAUCUAUAAAGUUUGAUCCCAGAUUUUACUGUUUCCUUUUUUACUCUCGAGCCAUGUGCUUUACACGUUAAUUGACACUGACAUGCUACCUCAUAUACAGCUGUGACCCACUGUCACCAAGAUCCUUAAUAUGAUUUCUUUUAAGCACUUAGAAAUUAUUUUUCAAGAGUAUUCCAAUGGCAGCUACUCAUAAUAAACAAUUCAAGAACAUUUGUGUGCUUUCUGGAUUUAACUAUGGCAAACAUAAAGAGUUCGUUGAGACAGCCAUAGAUCUUGGUCGAAGAAUAACAAAGAGAAAAUUAUACUUGGUGUAUGGAGGAGGUAACCGAGGGUUCUCAAAAUUGGUCUCAGACCCGCUUAUGUCAGGGGAAGCCAAGUGUUAGGCAUCAUCCCAAGAGCCUUAAAACCUUUGGGCAGUUUGUCUGACUCACCGAUUGGAGAAGAGUUAGUCGUCUUAGGUAUGCAAGAGAGAAUAACUAAAAUGCUAAAUCAUGCUGAUGCUUUUAUUUUCCUACCAGGAGAUCUUGCAACUCUAGAGACACUUAUCACGUUAGCAUCUUGGGUCCAUCUAAACAUUAACCAGAAACCCAUCGAUUUGUUAAAUGUCAAUAACUUUUAUUACGGCUUUAUCGCAUUUCUUAACUAUACAAUAAAACACUCUUUCAUUCAUUCCACAGCAAAAAAAAGUUUUUAUUUGUGCUCACAUUGCUAAUGAGCUACUUGAUCUGUUACAAGCUUAUCGAUCAGAGCAAGAUCCCAAGACCUUGGUGUUGCAGUAUCCAAAUAAUGAUGGUAACAAUAGCCGCAGUAAGAAGUGCAAAUUAGAUUUAACUCUCCGUUUGUAAAUAUUUUCCUCUGUGUUACACCACACAGGUGAUGUCUCCUAAACUCUACUUCUUUCUUUUAAAACAUUGAGGAUAAUGUUUCGUUCUGGUUGGGGGGGGAGAGAAUAGUUGACAAUUGUGGAAUAUCUCAAUCUUGGUUAAGUUUUUAUUAAUUUUUUGUUGUAGAGACUAACUGUGACUAACUUUUUGAGUCGAAAAUGGCUGAAUAUGAAGUGUAGUGACUGUAGAAACGCAUCUUUUUGGUUUGGAAGUAAAAAACUAAAUCCAGACAUUUUUUUUCUUUAUUAAGCUUUGACAGUUAUUUUUUUUUAAUUUCUUCUUUCUAAUUUCUCCUUUAUAAAUAUACACUUUCAAAUUUUUGAGUCGAAAAUGACUGAAUAUGGAGUGUAGUGACUUUAGAAACGCAUCUUCUUAGUUAAAAAAAAAAAUCAGACAUUUUCUUUUCCUAUCAUUUUAAGUGUAACUUUUCUAAUUUGUUUUUCUGCAUCGGUUUCACCUUUUUGCAUGCAUAUUUUCUUUUCAUGUUUAGAAUAAGUUGGGGGAUAGAAUGUCGUUUGAAAAAAAAAAUUAUGUAAUUUUUUUAAACAUUGGAUGACAUGAUGACUUUUAAAUUUUAGUAUUUGUAUCAUCUUUAGUCAUAAGUGAUGUUACGCCAUGUUUGCUACUCUACAUGUUGAUGUCGUUGACAAAUAUGAGUUGCUUGUAGGAAUGCACACGUCAUAAUGAAUACCAAGUGAGUUUUUAAGUUUGUCAAUUUUCUUGGAGAGUAACCUUUUUGUCCAUUUUUUAUACAGCUUAGCAGUUUAUUAUUUUAUACACGCUCUCUAGAUUUCUUUUAAGUCAAUCCUAUAAAAAAAGGUUAAAUAGAUUAAAAAAAAAGAAAAAAAAAGUGUUGCUACAUCUGAAAGUCCAUCUAAUUAGUAGAUAUGGAAGAUUAUUUAGAGCCCUAAAAGACGAUGGAAAUGCCAUCUUUGACCCGUUUGAGCAUUUUUAAUCAUCCCUUUUGUGAAAUAUCUAUAGUUAACCCUUUUGAGCCUUUCAUAUAUAAAAUUUUUUUUGUCAACUUAUCAUCUUGACCUACUCCGAUUUGGAGUAUUACCCGAUAUCUUACAAGUUCGAUAACUUAUUCAUAUUUGAGAAAAAUGUAAAUAAUUAGUUUGUUUAGUAAAGUUGUGCCAUACAAAAAAAAUAAUUUUUUUAAAAAAGAGAAAAAAAUAAUAAAUAACAAAUAAACGAAAUACACCUUGUAAUUUCCAAAAGAUCUCUACUUUUUCUCAAACAUAUAUUUUGUUUUCCUUAUUUUCCCUCCUUUGUUAGCUAUGUCCCUAGCCUACGUUACGUCCUAAUAAAAGUCCUUGAUUUUAGAGAUCUAUAGUCUGAAGUAGAAGCUAGUUAUAUGGGGUAAAAAGAUGUAGUGAUGCAUAAAAAGACAAAUAAAUAAAUACAUUAGUUUGACUAACAUUUUGUUUGACUAAGAUUGUGUUAUUUCUAAGCUGUGGGCAUACUCCUUUCAUCUUGGUGAGAGUGUGUGAUAUCACUUCUUUAUUAUUUUCUCUCAAUUUACCAUUCAUUGAAGUGACUAUAUUUAUUGGGUUUAAUUUUUUUUGUGAGAGUGUCACUAUUACCGGUGAGCUUUUGGGGUUUGACAUAUCAUUCUUGAAAGUGGCUUGAUUACUAUAGCUGUGAUAAAGCUUGCUGGACUGAUGCAUAUGGAUGGUUGAUGUGGGUGUGAUGUUUGUUUAGACUGAAGAUAAUGCUUAUACUUUUAUUUGAUUGCUAUCAUUAGUCUGAUUGAACAAACACAAUUGUUUUUUUUUUUAAAUCAUUUUGGGUUUGAAUUUUGUCUUCGCUUUGUUUGCUAGGGACUAGCAAUAAGUUGGUUGGGGGUGUGUUGAGUGUUAGAAAAUUUAUAUUUAUAAAGGAGAAAAUCGUCAUUUUACACUUCAAGUCUUACUAACAUCUCAACUUUUAUAUAUUUAAGUCCCUUGUGAUUUAAUUAUGUGUGUUUUUUUAAUUAAGUAUUUUGUGUAUUUUAAGGGCAUCAUGGUUAUUUCACAAUGCACGAGAGAUCAGAUAGCAAAACCGACAGCAGUUUUAAAUUCAGGACAGUCAAAAACCUUAGGAGGAGUAUAAAAGGGUAAACGACACUGUUCACAUGUACGGUAUUGUACAUGGUACCGUUCACAACACUGUUCACAUAUACAAUUCGAUGACAUGGCGUUGACCGAUGACAUGGCAUCGACUAAUGACGUGGCAACAUUUGAUUGGACAAAUGAUGUGGCAUUGACUGCUUAUGUGGCAUUGACUGAUGAGUUGGCGUUAAUCGAUGAUGUGUCACGAUCCUAUUGAACUAAAAUAUUGAUGCGGUGUUGAUCGGUGAUGUGACACUAUGUUAGUGGACCAGGAAACAUACGAUACAUGCAUUACACAGAAUCACAGCCUUGAUGAUGUGUUAUAUCCAAUCAGAACUUGCCAUAUGGCGCAAUCCUGAGCGUCCAAAUUGUUUUAAUCCGUGGCCAUGAUUUACUUAUUGUAUCUAUAAAAAUGGGGCUCUCCCCUUUAAUUCGACACCCUUGAAUCCAUUUUCGAGCUCCAUUUUUUGUAAUUCCUUCUCUAUCUGAUAUUUUCUAUGUAUUUUAAUAAAUUUUUAUUUUACCCCUAGUUCAAUUAUGAGUAACUAAUUUUAUUUUAAUUUUAGGUUGAAGGUGAAGUCUCAACAUGUUUCAUGGGUUUUAUUUAGUAAAUUUACUUUCUCUUCCCCUCUAAUAUAUGUGGAUGUUUUGACUUUUCGUCGACAGAUAGUAAUAAUCUUGUCUAGACGUAGUAGAAGGUUAUCACUAUUUGGCACGAUAAGCCCUUAGCACCAUAUUUAUUUGAGUGUGGUUCAUGAGGAGUGGAAAUCCCCCUCAUGAUUUAAUUGGCAUUAAUAUUGAAUAUCUAGUUCAUGGUGCAUGUUGAUGCAGAUCCAAAUACCCAAGCACUUUAUUUCAAUAGUUUCCAGUUUAAUUUAUUCCCGCCAUUCUAAUUUAAAUUCUAGGAUAAUCUAAAUCAAUUUCACCACAAAUCCACUAAGAAAAUUAACUCUACACACGAUUAAAAUCCAGCUCCUCGUGGGAUCGACACUCAUCACCGUUGAUCUAUUCUACAAUAUAUUCGUGCACUUACGAGUUCAAUAAAAUUUGCACAACAAUCAUCAUAUGUUACGUCCUUAGGACGAGUGUGCACCCAAUUAUUAUCAUUAUCAUAGACAUGAUCCCUUUUGCUACCGGUAGCAAGUAUAACUUUGCUUUCCUUUUUAUUAUGUUUAGAUCCUUCCACUCUAUUUUGAAGUAAUUAUCCACAGUAUUCUUCACCUCUGACUAAGGCUUCGUACUCGCCUAAAUGUAAUUGUGGCGUCAAGCCUUCAAUCAAAUAGUUUUCUAGAAGUUGUAUCCAUGCAAAAAGUUCCAAUUCCGUCUCCUGUUUGAGGAGACAAAAUUGAUCGAGAAUAGGCAGAGGGAUUCCUCCAUUACCAUUAUGGAAAUAGGUGACAUCAGGAAUAUGAUGGAAAGGGCUAGGGUAGGCUCUACAUUAGGAAUAUGAUGGAAAGGCCCCGACCCUAGAAGCGAAUUCGAAUCGGCGCUUGAGGCAGAGUUCACAUCCUCAGAGCCCGAGAAAAAAUUCAUAACACUAAUGUCAAGCGCCAAGAGUUAAUUACAAAAAAUAAAAUAAAAAUAAAUAAAACUAAGUCUAACCAAUGGUUUAGUUAAAAAGAUGAUUAAAUGGAAAUGAAAAGUUUUCAUUUUUGUUUUGUUUCCUUUCCUCUAUUACGACCAGCGCGGUUGUUUGUAUUUCAUUUUCUUUUCCCAAGCCCUUCUUAGAGCACUCACUAAGUUACUUAGGGAAUCUCAAAUCUCAUUGCAUUGACCAUAGUAGCUUGCAUCCAAUGCAUUCUUUUUUAUACUAUAUGGUAUACUGAACACAAACUUAAUCUUGAUAAAAGAAAAAGUGAAGGAAAGUUUCUAAUAAAUAGAUUUCUUGCUUGAUCUCACCUUUACUUUUCAUAUUCCUUGCACUAACAGUCUUAUUAUAUUUGCAAUAUCUUAAAUGAUCUCAUUGAGGAAAUUCAAUAAGUGAUCAAAGAACCCUUUCCUUAUUUGAUUCUUCUUUUGCCUGAACUAUGCCUUAAAACGUCUUUGGAUAAGCUCGAGGCCUUUAAUAUAUAAUGAACACAAUUUGCCAAGAGUUGGUUGUGACAAAAGUGGUUAAGAUGUCCAUCUUUGGUCAAGAAUGAGUAACAUAUUAGUCAAAGAGAGCGGCUACGAAGAGGAGGUUGUUGAUACAGUUUUCUUUAUUCGGUGUCAUUUUGAAUCUACAUUGAUUCUGUAUCUAAAAAAGCCAAUGGGCUUGUCUGUUCUCAUUGGUCCAAAGGAAUAAAAGAGAACAAGUAAACUAGGCCCCACGGUGUCCUCUCCCUUAACAGGCUGGACAAAGAUCCCUGGGUUGAAGAAACUUUUUGACUUCUACUAGAUCACGAAGAUGGGAUAUUCUCCGUCUUCUUCUUUAUAGAAAGGAGAUCCAAAUCUCUUAUCAAUGCCAUUGUAACCAGGUUGGUCUCAUAGUUAUGCCUUCGGGCAUGACAUAUUGGUCACGAUUUAAUGUGAAAUAUGGAUCAUCUAGUGGUUCGCUCGCUCCGUUAGAGAGAAGAAAACAUAGAAUGAGUAAGACAUGAACUUGCGUUGACAGAGAAGAUAAUUUUGUUUACACUUUUGAGAGUCCAAGAAUUAGAAAGAGGUGGAAUACUUAGUUGUGUUGUGAGACAGGAAAGCCCUCUUACUAUGAAAUCAUGUACUUAUUCAUUUCAUUAGUAGAAGAUCGAGCUAGUUCGUCUAUCACUGUAGUGAGGCAAAGCGAAAGUGCUUGAAAGCAAGUAUCCAUAUCCUUUCUAGCUGGCUAAGGCUGGGCGGAGUGAACCAGUAGCAAAGUUGGGGUUUAACAACAACAUGAAAGAAAUGUUGUUACCAUAAUGAGGUGGAAUACUUUUUAACCCAGUCAAAAGUUAUCUAUAUUUUCCUCGAUUGAGUCUAGUAGAGGAAGGGAGAUAGGAGAUAGGAAUGAAGUGAAGCCACUUCUUAUUUGUGUUUUCACAAUAUUUGAAAAAUGAUGUGAUGAUUUGCAUGUUGCAAGAUUUUUAGUUGCAAGUUGCAUUCUGAGAAUUGAAAAUUGUGUAGAUAAACAAUGAGUCCCAGUGAGAUAAUUAUUUCGUAUUGUAGUGAUAAAAGCAACAAAGUAGAUUUGUCUUUAUUAUAGUUUAGUUUAGAAGUGAAGUCGAAGUCCAUUAUAUGUUUUUUUUCUAAGCUUUCAAGCCGGUGAACGAGAUUUCUCUAUCUUCUCAGGGGAGGGGAGCUGGGCAGAAGGGUUUGAUGAUGAAUCAAAGUCCAAAUGUUGAUGCUUUCUAUCCCGCAGCUCAGUGAAAAAAUGAAAUCAAUCCAAUCGAAGAGGACCAAUCCAUCAAUAGCUAUUGCACUAGCCCCCCUUCUCGACCUGGUCUUGGCACCUGUGAUACAUUUCUUUAAUUAAUAUAAACAAAUGGAUUUGGUACUCCUAGAGGAUAGAGAAGAUUCGGUCCAUUGUGGUGUCAAUGUCUCUUGAUCAACCUUCCGUAUCGAAUAAGAAAUUUAGUAUUGAAAACAAGAUAAAGGGGGUUGGAUGUCAUUCAAGGAUUACAUUUAGUAAAGCUAAAAGCAUCUACCUGGAUGAUACGAGAGAAAAAUUUAUUCAUCAUUCACGUAUGUAUACCAAAUGAGAUCCAGGAUGAAUUGACUUUAUAUAACUACAAUUUGAUACGAAAUUAUACAAUAAUAGGUGAGUUGGUACCAACAAGUGCUCCUUUGCUAAAUAAGAUGAAAAAUGGUAACGUACAUAAUUGUGAAAUAACAGAUUUUUUGUUCAGUUGGGCUUGGGCAUAGGGAUAGGACUGCCCAUAUUCAAAGUCAAAGAGAGAGGCUAAGAAGUAAGUGUUUCCGUUACACACCUAUUCUCUUUAUUUCUUUUAGUUGAGAUUGGAAAUAAAAUACUAAAAGUGCCCUACUCCAUUAAUAGGUCGGCAACGACUGGUAGGGAAAACGAUUGGAUAUAGAGUGGAAUGUGGAAUGAAUCCAAAGGCUAAUCUGACACUCUGAUAAUCCCAUGAGAGGAGAGUAAGGAUCCUCCAACCUGAGUUUGAAACUCUGAUAUGUAAAGGAGGAGUCCAACUCCUCCUGAAAUUGUAUUAAUUGUAGAAGAAACUACAACUUCCAUUAUAAAUUUAGGGAAUUAGAAAAGCCCAAAUCUAUAAAAGACAUAGUGUAUAUAUAUACAACUUCUUCAAGCCCCAGCCCUACUGGAGGAACUACAACUCGUGAUACAAUGCCCACUAGUAAUAAACUUAGACUGUGACUCAUACAAUGGGUCUCGCGGGACAAAGAAGGUCUCAAAGGAAAAGAGUAAGCAAGUAGAUCUACAUCAGUUCAAUCUUGUUUGUUAUCUUAGUUGUUGCUUUUGCCUUAUCGAGAAAGACAAAACUGAAAGAACUCUCUUCUUCAUUGACUUCCUUGAAUGACUAAUGUUAGCGAAAAGAACCAAAAGGUUAUUCCAUCCAAUCUUUAGUGAUCUCUUUCUCGGCUGAUUUGAAUUCUAAAUUUUAAACAGUUAACAAUACGUUAUUACGUUUGAUCUAUUCUUGCAAUAAGCUUCAUGUUGGUAGAGAGGGGUGCUUUGAUCUCACUUGGAAUACAAAGCAUGGAAUCUGACUUGAGAAGACUGUACAAAAAAUCCUUUAAUAGAAUGAUGUUGCAAAAAGGAUGAAUAUAAUAAUUGAAGAGAGAGUCAGGUGUCUGCAUUUUAAUGCCAAGCUUCCUAAAUUAUUUUGGGUAUAGGGUAUGCAUACUGCAGUAAACCAGGGAGAGUUUGGACUCGGAAAGAUGUUUCUUAUAAACACUUAAGAGUGUUUGGCUGUAGAGCAUAUGUUCACAUCCGUAAAGAUAAGAGAUUGAAGCUUGAUGAUAAAGCCAAGGAAUGCAUUUUCUUAGGCUAUGAACAUGAAGAAUUAAGUGCAGAUUAUAGGAUCUACUAGCAAGGAAGUUGAUUAGAAGUAGAGAUGUUGUGUUCCUUGAAGAUCAUAUAGUUAGUACUGUAGAGAAGAGUAAUGGGUUUCAGUUAUCUUUAGAGAUUCCUAUUAUUCCAACUUCAAUUUCUCCAUUUAUACUUCAUGAUGAUCGUGGGGGAGCUCGAGAGGAUAAUAAUGAUGGUCCAAUAAAAGUAGUUGACCAGGUACUUCUAGAACCACCUACACCACUAGUUGAGCCAUAAUUGGGGAGAUCCACCGGAGAACAAUGACCUUUCACUAGAUAUCCUCCACAUGAGUAUGUGAUGCUUACAUAAGGAGGGGAGCCAAAAUGUUUUAAAGAAGCCAUGUCUCACCAGCAUAAAAAUGAGUUGGUUAAAGCCAAGCAAGAGGAGAUGAAAUCCUUGAAUGAGAGGCACACUUAUAACUUAGUAAAACUUCCUAAAGGAAAGAGGACACUGAAGAACAAGUGGGUUUACAGGUUGAAGAUUGAAAAUAACUCACAACAACAGUACAAGGUUAUAUUAGUUAUGAAUGGCUUUGGUUAGAAGAAAGGUGUUGAUUUUGAAGAAAUAUUUUCUCCUGUGGUGAAGAUAUCUUCUAUCGAAGUGGUUUUGGGAUUAGCAGCUAGUUUGAAUUUGGAGAUUGAACAGCUCAAUGUCAAGACAAUGUUUUUGCAUGGUGACUUAGAGGAGGAAAUAUACAUGAAGCAAUUUAAAGGGUUCAGUGUCAAAGGCAAAGAACAACUUAUAUAUAAGUUAAAGAAAAGUUUAUAUAGUCUGAAAUAGGCACCAAAACAGUGUUACAAAAAGUUUGAUUGUUUUAUGGAGAAUCAUGGCUUCCCCAAGACUAUGUGUGACCAUUAUGUUUUUGUGAAGAAGUUUGAUGAUGAUGAUUUCAUCAUUCUUUUGCUUUAUGUAGAUGAUAUAUUGAUUGUUGGCCAAGAUGCUAGUAAGAUUGACAAUAUAAAGAGAGAGUUUAGUAGGUCUUUUGCAAUGAAGGGCUUGGGACCGGCGAAAUAUAUUCUUGGCAUGAAUAUUUCUCGCGAUAAAAAAUUAGAGAAGUUAUGGUUAUCGUAAGAAGUAUAUAUUGAAAGGUUUCUUCUAAGAUUUAACUUAGGUAAGGCAAAAGCUGUUUGUUCUCCACUUAUAGGUCAUUUUAAGCUUAGUUCUGAGGAUUGUCCUACAAGUGAGAAAGGGGGAAAAAAGAUGAAAGGAAUUCCUUAUGCUUCAGUAGUUGGUAGUUUGAUGUACGCCAUGGCUCGUAGAAGACUAGCUAUUGCUCAUGGAGUUGGUGUAGUCAGUUAGUUUCUCUACAAUUCGAGCAAAGAAGAACUAGACAACAGUAAAGUGGAUUAUUAUAUAUCCUAGAGGCACUCAUAACAGCCCAAACUUCAACAGUGUGGUGCUUGUUCUACCACUGAAACAGAGUAUAUUGCAAUCGCUGAAGGUUAGAAAGAAACCUUGUGGGUGAAGAAUUUUUUACAAGAGUUCACUACAACAAUUAUGGCCUUUAGUAGCAUUAUAUUGUAGCAUUUAUUUUAAGAAUGUUACCAAAUAUCAAUUUAUUAUAACGUUUUACAAAAUGAUGCUACCUUUGAAAUAUGACAACCAUUACAUUUCGUUUUUAAUGACAUUUGAUCAUUACUAGUGGCAUUUUUGCAUAUGCUACAUAUAGUAUUGAAUUAUAUAGCAUUUAGGAAAUGCUACAAUAUAACAUUAAAUAAAGUAGCAUUUGAAAAAUGUAAUGGAAGAGUAAUAAAUAUAAUAAUAUUUUAAAAUAGCAUUGAUAACAUUCUAUUGGUAGCAUUUUGAUUGAUAAAAUAAAUUAGUAUUCGAAAAAUGCUACAAGAUAAAAGGAUUGAAAUGUUAGACCAUCAAUAUCUAUUGGUAGCAUUCUAAAAUUAUACUAUAGAAUAUUAAUUAAUAAAGAUAACAUUUUAAAAAUGCUACAAGAUAUCAGUAGAUAUAAUAUCAUUGUUUUUGCUAGAAAAUGCAGUAGCAUUACCACAUUUUAAAAAUAUAUAAAACAAUGAAAAGACAAUAAACCCAACUUAAAAAAUGCAAAAAAUGGAGUGAAAAUUAAACUAAAGAUGUACAAAAUGGGUAGUUUUAGUAGAAGACAAUUACCUACAAAAGGGGUAAGUUCAGAAGAAGGUGGUACCCUAAAAAGAAAAAACAAAAACAAACGAAAGAUGCCUACAUUAUUUCCCUUCCCACUGUAGCUUUAUAGAGAAUUCUCCUCUAAUGUCUAUCCUCCAUUCUAAUACUCACUAAAUCUCAAAAAGGAAAAAGGGAAAAAGAAAAGAAAAAAAUGGAUGACGAUUCCCUGGCCACUUCACAUAUAUUCGCUGACUUGAGAAAGAUUAGGCUGGCUACUCGGUAAUUUAGAAGUGAUCUAAUUGAUUUGGUAAGGAUUCUCACUCAUACAACUUCAAUUUCGCUACUAUACCCAUGGUCGAAACAAAUAUAUAACCCCAAUUUGGGUGCUCUUUCUUCCAUCUACAUGAGCAAUUAAUGAUUAAAAUGAUUUAUUUACUAUUUGUAUUUGGGUUUGAUGAUUGAACAUUUAAAAGGAAAAAUCAUGCUAUCUUCUUAAUUAUUUUUGGAUUAUUGAUAGUUUUAUAACUUUUUUUUAAUAAUUUUUUUUAAUCUCUAAAUCCCUAGCAUUCCAGCAAUAUUUACUAUUAGUUGCAUCUGUCUAAUUGUUUUUAGCUUAUUUGCUAUUAUUAUACCUUGACUGGUUAUGAUUUCUUUCUCUCCUGAGCAAAUUGAUCUUGGGUUUUGAUAUAUUUUGUAAUCGUUAGUAUUAACACAAUUUUAAUUCUAGAAUCUCAAAGUUAUUGUUUGCUUGGCAUAGUCUUAGGAUUUGAUGGAGGAAUUAUCAGCUUCCCACUCAAUAGAUUUGUAGCAAUGUGCAUAUCAACACUAAAGUAGGUUUAGUAAACAAACUUAAGUCCCAAUAUAAUUUUAUGGCAUUGUUUAUUUCAUUUUAACAUUUUUCAAAACUUGUUUAGGGGCCAACAUCUCUUUAACAAUUAUUAAAGUUUUUGCAUUAUAAAUUUUAUGGGUUGUGUUCUUAAACUAACUCAUAUUUUUUGUGUUUUAUAUGUGUAACUUGGGGAAAAUGAGCAAGAAAGAAUGAAGUUAAGACCUGAUAAUAUGUUAUCAAUAAGUGAGUGGAAAAGUUUUGUGAAAGAAAAAGAAACGGUGAAAAAUUUAAGAUAAGUGUAUUACUAUAUUAGAAUAUGUAAUUGUAGCUAUAUCUCUGUAACUGAACAAAGCUUAUUCAAUUGUGUAGGAAAGAAAUGAAAUAUUUAGAAAGAUUUGCUAGACACAAAUCCCAUAAACAACAAGGCAUAUAUGAGUUGUUAGAACGACGGAAGAUAUGGUUAAUAUAUAUAUAUAUAUAUAUAUUUCCAUAAUAAAAAUUUAGCUAAACAAUCAUUUCUUAAAUUAUUUUCUAUUAUAUAAAAAAAGUAGUAUUAUUUCGAAAAUAAUUGUCCGAUAUGUGAAAGCUAGUUGAAGAGCUACAUAAAAAGGCGGCAAGUAUGUAUUAUGUUUUAUUCACUUUUAUAUAAUUGUUAUAAUAUUUAGUUAUUGAAUUUUUUUUUUUCAUUAUAGAGUCAUUUUCAUGAAAGCCAAGCAUGUAGGAAUCCUCCAAAAAUACCAUUGACUUUUUCACUGGUAAGAAUACUAUUUACAUUUUAAAUUCAAUUAAAGCAUGAAAAAUAAAAAUAUUGAAGGAUUAUCUUAAAUGAUAAUAGAUUUUUGGUUUUUAAAUUUUCCUUGUAUUGCAGUUGAAGAGUGUGAAGGUAUUCCCAAAAGUGACUAAGUGUAUGAUGCUUGAUUUAGUGGGGUGUGAUGUUGUUGAAGGGCGUUGGUCAUCAAGUAAUCUAAAUGCACUUGUUCAUCACAUUCCUCUUGGUUCUAAUACCAUAAGAGUUUUGCAUGGAUCUAGUAAUGCAAUCUCUAAAGCUUUAUGUAAAGUAAUGCCUCAUAUGUCAACAAUUGAAAAAUUUGUUGGGAGUACAAUUGCAUGGCCUCCUAAUGAGUUGUCUUGUUUCUUUCCAACUAGCUUUUCCAGUUCAUCUAUUUGGGUAAUUUUUUUCACUUCCUUUUCUUUUUUACGGUGACUUUAUAUAUUUUAAUAUUGAUAGCGAAUUUGAUCUAGUUUGCAGCUAUAAGAAAGUAACUUUGCAUUUUGCUACUUUGAGAAGGUCCUUAUUAACAUUAUUAUUAUUUUUUAGUUAAGUGAAGCUCGGCUUUUUAGAUUUUUUUUUCGUUCAUUUACUUUGAGCAAUUAUUUGGACAAAUAAUUGUUUUAUUCACUUUCACUAGGAGCCAUAUGCCAAGGCUUCACCAUGGCCAUUUGUUUUUGAAAUGUUGAUCUUGGCGGGUUGUGAUUUAGCUUUUCUUGUAUUCUUCUUAUUACUUUGAUUCUUAUUGCUUAUCGUUACAUUAUAGCUUAAUCUCCUAAUAUAUGAAAAUAGAUCUUUUCCUCCUUUAAUGCAAAGAUAAAUGUUCGUUGCUUUAGAUUUUCAAUAUUGUUAUUUUUAUUUGUACUUACUAACAGAACAUUAUUUUCCUUCUCAUUUUUUAAAGCUUUAUUAUUUAUUUUUUUAUGUCAAAAUGUAACUAUGUUUUUGUGUUCAAUUCAUGAUGUAGGUUGCAAAGAUCAAGUACAUUUUGUAAAGAGUAGAAGGCAAGUUGUGGAUGUAAUAACAACUUUAUUUGGUUUAAUUCAUGGGGAGAAAAAGUGCAAGUAUGACAUGAACAUAAUUUUUUUGUUUAAAUCUUUUUGUGUUCUUGGAGGUAUAUGAUCAUGUGAUUUUGGAUGCUUAUAUAUAGUUAUUGUGAUUAAAUAUGUAGUGACUGUUUUUUUCCCUUAACGAAUGAUAGAUUACAUGUCAAAUUGUUUAGCAUUUGAUAUUUAAAGUUAUAUUUGGUGAAUAAACAUUUCAAUGUGAAUUUAUCAAUUUAAACAAAUAACAUUAAACAACCAAAAAAAAAAUAUCUGCUAAUAUUCAUAGCUUUUUACAAAUACUACAAUAGAAAAUUUUAAAGUUAUUCAUAACAUUUACAAAUAGCUACAUUACACAUAUUUUAUUUAAUUUUUUUUACUAAUCAUAAAAUUAUUAAAACGUUAUAAUUAUUAUUAAAAAUGCAUUAUCAGAGUGCUAUGAAAGGCAGGUGGUAGCAUUAUAAAAUGGCUCUUGUAGCAUUUUUUGAAUGUUAUAUAUAAAAUUUAGUAGCAUUUCGUAAAUGCUACAAAUUGUACAAUGAUAGCAUCUGCAUGAAGCUACAAAAUAAUAUUUAGUAGCCAUUUUUAAAUGUUAUGUAUUCAAAUUGUUAGCAUCCAAUAGAUGCUACUAAAUGGUAAGACUUUUAGUUAUAUGGGCAAACUUGGCAUUAUUUAAAAUGCUACCAUAUAUCGUUUUUGUUGUAGUGAUUGGGCGUGAAUCAAGACAACUUUAUUGUGUACUGCGACAGUUAGAGUUCCAUUCACUUGGCAAAGAAUUCAACAUACCAUUUGAAAUGCAAACAUAUUGAUGUGAGGUAUCAUUACAUACGAGACGUGCUUGAAAAGAAACAAUUGCAGCUUCAGAACAUACACACAACGGAGAAUAGGUCAGAUAUAAUGAUAAAGAUGUUGCCCAAGGAGAAGCUGAAAAGCUGUAAGCAAAGAGCAGGCUUAGUGGUGCCCUCCACAUGAUCUUGAGCGGGAGAUUUAUUGAGUCCAUCUCAUUUUGGUGGACCAAGCCCAAAUUGCAUUAGUUUGGGCAGCAAGUAAUUAAAGAAAAACAACAUGGGGUUAAAUGAAAUUUGCCUUUGAAAUAGGUUUUGUGAUUCAUAUGGCUAUACAAAAGAAAAGAAAAGCAAACAGUAGCUGCAGACUAAAAAGAAGAAAAGACAAGAGAGAGAAAGAGAGAGCAGUGGCGUUUUCUCUAGAAUUGGGAGUAAGGUUUUCAAUGUUUGAUUGGACAAUCAAAAGCUGAUUUUGACUUCGUUUUCUCCCAAAUUUUGAGAGUAAGUUUCUGGUAUCGCCUUCUACAAUCAUACUGGUCUUGAUUUUUUUUUAUCCUCUUGUUGUCUAUUAUUUGAGAUACCCACUUGUUAGAGAGACCGACAUUAGUCUGUUAUUGUAACCACGAAUAUCGAGAUUCUUGAUAUUGUUAGCCUCUAAUAUUAUUUAGAGAGGAAUUUGUAUUGUAAUCUCAUUAAUAUAGUGGAAGAUUAUAUCGGACUACGGUCCCGUGAUUUUUUCUAUUUUGGGUUUUCAUGUAAAAUCUGUCUCUUAUGGUUGAUUUAUUACUUCAGAUUUUGUUGGUUUAUUUUUCUGCCUAUUUAUUUAUAGUACACAUCUUAUUUUAAUCACACAAAAAGAGAAAGAUGUUUGUUUCUGCUUCAUUUACAAUUGCUUGUGUAGGUUCUUUUCUCAACAAGCUGUGAUUUAAAAAACAAUUACAAAAUUAUUUGGAGUGUAAAAUAAACUAAAAAAGUUUUAAAAUUUUAAACAGAGCUUAUUACAUGUAUCUAGUAUUCCCAAUUUUAAUUUCAUAAUUUUUUUAUUAAUAUAUAAUUUUAUAAAAAUCCUAGAAUACAUAAUGUUUUAGUUAAAGCACUGUAAAAUAGUUUUGAAUUUGUCAUAAAACAAAUAGUUUUGAAAUUGUUUUUGGUAUCAGUUCAUCAUGACGAUUUUAUGGGGGAUACUUAUGGUUGUCCACCAUAGUUCGUCAUUCCAAUUAUUAUUUUAAGAGUAAAAGUUCAAAGAAUCAGACCUGUAGGAUAUGGGUUAGAGAAUCAAGAUGUUGGAAUUAGUUGUUAGUCGCUACAUUUUGAAUGGUUUAAGGUGUUUGAGGCUGAUUGGAGGCUUAGAAGUGUGUUUAAAUAAUUUCUUCUAUCUAGGUGAGUAACUCCACUCCUAAAGCACUAGAUUUGUGUGACUCUAUUGAUAUCUUAAUAUUAUUGUAAGUAACAUCUUUUUUAGUGUACUGGAUAUCUAGAGUACUGGAUAUGUAAGAUAGUUUUGAUAUUUUAACAUUAUUACAAGUACAUGUGCUUUUUUUAGUUCUUCAAAACAAAAUUAUUUAUGUAAGUGUUUUAAUAUAAUUUUGAUAGAGUGCUAGAUUUGUGUGAUUAUAUUGAUAUCUUAAUAUUAUUGUAAGUAACAUCAUUCUUAGUGUACUGGAUAUUUAAGAUAAUUUUGAUAUUUUCAUAUCUUUACAUGUGUUUUUUUUUAAUUCUUCAUAACAAAAUUAAUUUAUGUAAAUGUUUUCAAAUAUGAAAAUUAUGUUAUUUUUAUGGAUCCAAUAGAAUAUUAUUAAUGCCUUUAAAUAUGUAAUUUAUUUUAUUACAUGACUAUCUUCUAUGAAUUUUUCUAUGAAAUAUUAAAAUGGAAUUUAUUUUGCAAUCCUAAAUCAUUGUUGAUCUUUUAUGAAUUCGAUAUAAAUAUUUUAUUCACAUAUACGAUUGAGAUUAUUUAUGAUUGUUUGGGGGCCAGAGUGCCCCGAAGUGCUACAUAGUACCACGUGCAAGUCGUGACAUAUGGAAAAUGAUUUUAAAUAUUUUGGCUCAUUGUCUAUAGUUAUUUUGAUUUUGAUUUUGAUUCUGAUCGUAUUAUAUGAUAUAUAUGUUCGGGACCAGUACUGAGUUUCUAUUUUGAGGGUGCACACGAUAUUCUGAUUCUGAUUCUAUUCUGGCUAGUCACUGGGAGUAUAAGUGAUAUUUUGUGACAUGAGCUAAUCUUUUGUUUCCUAUAUUUAUAUCUUAUACGAUUUGUUUUUGUGAUUAAUUAUGACUUUGAUAUCUGUAGAGGGCAUUUGAGUGACUUGUUGAGAGGUGUGUUUAUCUUUGGAGGUAGAGAUUUAUUUACUUGCUAGUUGAAUAAAAGAAUGAUGAAUUUCUAUUUCCUUUAAGCUUGUUAGUGUUCUAAACUUAUAAUUGGGGAGUUUUGAGACUUUUGUUACAUUUAUGAUUUGCAAGAAUAUGUCAAGUAUUCAACUUGUGGAUUUGUUGAUUUGUUUAAUAAAGUUUGAGGUAUUUCAAUUUGAGAUUUUGUGUGAGGAUUUCAAUUUGUAUGUAACCUCCUAUUACCAGGUGUUAAAUUUGGGCUGUUACAUAACCACAACUAUUGGACUCUUUUUCAUGUGUAAUGAAGUGAGGCAAACACUAUUGUAAUACUUCAACCUCUAUUAAGAAAAGAUACAAAAUAAUACAUAAUGAAGAAACAAAAAAAAAAGAAAAGAAAAAGAAAGAAAGAAGAAGAUGAUGAGAGAGAGUGAGAAAGAGAAUGAGAUUGGGGAUUAAGAAGAUGAAAAGUUAAAUUUUUAAUGAGUUUCUUUACAUGGAUUAAUGAACUUUUAUUUUUUACCAAGAAAUUGAAAUGAUUUUGAGUAAACCAUCAUAAAUUAUUUAAACUUUGACAAAUUCUAUAUCCUCGAAACAGAAAUAUGAAAAUUUAUUGUAUGCAUNN